rnacentral:rRNA from 1 species
UACGUAGGGGGCCAGCGUUGCUCGGAAUUACUGGGCGUAAAGGGUUCGUAGGCGGCGCGGCAAGUUGGGAGUGAAAUCUCGGGGCUUAACUCAGGGGCUGCUUUCAAAACUGCCGCGCUCGAGUGCGAGAGAGGUCAGUGGAAUUGCAGGUGUAGCGGUGAAAUGCGUAGAUAUCUGCAGGAACACCCGUGGCGAAGGCGGCUGACUGGAUCGCAACUGACGCUGAGGAACGAAAGCUAGGGGAGCAAACAGG